GCCCGCCUAGCUCAAUCGGAUAGAGCGUCAGACUUUUACAUAUAUGGCGGGGAUGGAACCAGAUUCAUAUAUCUAAUCUGAAGGCUGCGGGUUCGACCCCCGCGGUGGGCU